rnacentral:rRNA from 1 species
UAACCUGCGGAAGGAUCAUUGU